UAGGGAAUCUUCCGCAAUGGACGCAAGUCUGACGGAGCAACGCCGCGUGAGUGAAGAAGGAUUUCGGUUCGUAAAACUCUGUUGUUAGAGAAGAACAGCGCAUAGAGUAACUGUUAUGCGUGUGACGGUAUCUAACCAGAAAGCCACGGCUAACUACGUGCCAGCAGCCGCGGUAAUACGUAGGUGGCAAGCGUUGUCCGGAUUUAUUGGGCGUAAAGCGAGCGCAGGCGGUCAAUUAAGUCUGAUGUGAGAGCCCCCGGCUCAACCGGGGAGGGUCAUUGGAAACUGGUUGACUUGAGUGCAGAAGAGGAGAGUGGAAUUCCAUGUGUAGCGGUGAAAUGCGUAGAUAUAUGGAGGAACACCAGUGGCGAAGGCGACUCUCUGGUCUGUAACUGACGCUGAGGCUCGAAAGCGUGGGUAGCAAACAGG
rnacentral:rRNA from 1 species